ACGAUCAUACUUGCACUAAUGCACCGGAUUCCAUCAGAACUCCUCAGUAAAACGUGCUUGGCGAAAAUAGUACUACGAUGGGUGACCUCCUGGGAAGUCCUCGUGUUGCACCCC